AUGCGUGAACAGGAGGAAGCCAGAGGAAAACCUGGUGGAGGUCCUUAGUGGUCCUGAUGUGAAAAUCGGUUGUCUGACUUGGGUUU
rnacentral:ncRNA from 1 species